rnacentral:rRNA from 1 species
AACGAACGCUGGCGGCAUGCCUAACACAUGCAAGUCGAGCGAGACCUUCGGGUCUAGCGGCGGACGGGUGCGUAACGCGUGGGAACGUGCCCUUCUGUACGGAAUAACCCCGGGAAAGGGGGAGUAAUACCGGAUACGCUCUUCGGGGGAAAGAUUUAUCGGAUAAGGAUCGGCCCGCGUUGGAUUAGGUAGUUGGUGGGGUAAUGGCCCACCAAGCCGACGAUCCAUAGCUGGUCUGAGAGGAUGAUCAGCCACACUGGGACUGAGACACGGCCCAGACUCCUACGGGAGGCAGCAGUGGGGAAUCUUAGACAAUGGGCGCAACCCUGAUCUAGCCAUGCCGCGUGAGUGAUGAAGGCCUUAGGGUUGUAAAGCUCUUUCAGCUGGGAAGAUAAUGACGGUACCAGCAGAAGAAGCCCCGGCUAACUCCGUG